GGAUCGCAGGCUGCAACUCGCCUGCGUCAAGUUGGAAUUGCUAGUAAUCGCGGAUCAGCAUGCCGCGGUGAAUACGUUCCCGGGCCUUGUACACACCGCCCGUCACACCAUGAGAGUCGGGAACACCCGAAGUCCGUAGUCUAACCGCAAGGAGGGCGCAGCCGAAGGUGGGUUCGAUAAUUGGGGUGAAGUCGUAACAAGGUACC
rnacentral:rRNA from 1 species